GCCGCUCGCUCGCUCGCUCCGGCCGAGAGGAAGCCAGGGCCGCUCGCUCGCUCGCUCCUGCUCCACGGCCUUCAUAUCUCCUGCAGGAAGAAAGAUCGUGAAAGAGAUAGUCGCCACCCCUACAAGGUACAAGCUGCUGCACCUGUAAGUAAAGGAGAACUCGGGAGGGCCACCUGG